rnacentral:rRNA from 1 species
GAUGAACGCUGGUGGCGUGCCUAACACAUGCAAGUCGAGCGAUUCUCUUCGGAGAAGAGCGGCGGACGGGUGAGUAACGCGGGGGUAACCUGCCCUGUACACACGGAUAACAUACCGAAAGGUAUGCUAAUACGAGAUAACAUGCUUUUAUCGCAUGGUAGAAGUAUCAAAGCUUUUGCGGUACAGGAUGGACCCGCGUCUGAUUAGCUAGUUGGUGAGGUAACGGCUCACCAAGGCGACGAUCAGUAGCCGACCUGAGAGGGUGAUCGGCCACAUUGGAACUGAGACACGGUCCAAACUCCUACGGGAGGCAGCAGUGGGGAAUAUUGCACAAUGGGCGAAAGCCUGAUGCAGCAACGCCGCGUGAGCGAUGAAGGCCUUCGGGUCGUAAAGCUCUGUCCUCAAGGAAGAUAAUGACGGUACUUGAGGAGGAAGCCCCGGCUAACUACGUG